UUUGCCCUCCAAAGCAUGACACGGGGACAGAUGCUGCGUGAGAAACGACGUCGACUCAGCCUCCACGCCCCGAGGAGGGCGGGGCUUAGCGGGUGACUCUCUCCGCGCACAAAAGCCGCAUGAGGCGGAGAAACGUGACGAAGGGGAAAAACAAGAUUUAAUGCGUGGAAUGGCUGACCCACUGACCGGACUACGUCAUCGUCUCCCGCAGGCGGCAGCAACACUGAAGUCCCUGUGAGGGAGCGGAAGCAGCAGGGGGCGGGGCUAUGUGGCUCACGCGCCGCACGAGGCUCUCCGAGAAGGCCACACUGAAUGUGGACUUCUUGGAGACGACUUGGAUGCUUGCUGCUGCUGCUUUCCCGCGCCUGCGUGCUGCACUACAAGUGAGGCUCAAAAGUCUUCUGUCCCACUCGUGUCUUCCAAGAAAGCCGAGCCCGCACGUUCGCGUGCGUCAGACGUGACACACACACCCACUGAUACAAACACCCACAUUCAUCACGUUUGCACAGCACGUUUCGCCGCCUUUUCAUUGGCGGGGAUGAGAGGCUGAGUGCAGUGUGAUGUGCUUAUUCGACCGUGCAGCGUGGGUUCAGUAAAGCCACGCAACAUGUGAGCUCUCCAUGUGCCGGCCUGAGCGCUGCCCUACUGAUACACUUUUUAUGCAAAAGCGCAUGUGGCGCGCAGGACAAGGCAGCCUGCGGGAUGAGGCACGUGGACAAUGGGCGGGGCUCACCGUGACUUUGCUGGCUUCCCCACGACCAGUGAUGCUGGCUGCAAAGUUGCCGGUAAACACGAAGUCCUGCCAAAGGCUGGGCAAGUGCCAUGCUUAAAGGGUGCUGGUGCCCACACUGAUCUACUAUCUAGGACUGCGUGUUUAAAGUUAGAGUUAAAGUACCCAUGAUUGUCACACCCACACACAUUAGGUGUGGCGAAAUUAUUCACUUCACCCUUGAUCACCUCCCUGGGAGGCGAGGGGAGCAGUGAGCACCAGCGGUGGCCACGCCCGGGAAUCAUUUUUGGUGAUUUAAAAGGCCUACUGAAACCCACUACUACCCACCACGCAGUCUGAUGGUUUAUAUAUCAAUGAUGAAAUAUUAACAUUGCAACGCAUGCCAAUACGGCCUUUUUAGUUGACUAAAUUACAAUUUUAAAUUUCUCGGGAGUUUCGUCUUCGAAACGUCGUGUAAUGAUGACGUGUACGCAAGACGUCACGGGUUUUUAGGAAGUAUGAGCGCUGCACACACACAGCUAAAUGUUGUCUGCUUUAAUGGCAUAAUUACACAGUAUUUUGGA